AUUUUGUUCUGGUGGCUUACCAUAUAUUGAGAAACGCAAUCCAACAACUUGAUUUCUAGUGAUUUGAAUUUGGCUAUUUGCAUUUGCAGUUCCAAAUUCUCUCUUUUAAGUUUAUUAUUCUCCUCUAAGAGUACUGAACGAUAAUUUUCCUCCACAGCAGUUGUUGCAUUCUCUUCAUUGGAAGCCUUUAGAUAUGCUGGAAAGAUACUGGGUUCGCAUUUCUUCCGAGUGAUCUCCACUAGCAAGUGCCUGCUACCUUUCUGGAAUUUCUCAUGCUUGAACUCCCAUAGCUUGGAUGAUGUUUUCUUGAAUCCAUAGGUGUUAAGCUGGCGAAUGAAGCUAGAG
rnacentral:misc_RNA from 1 species